GACGAGGGACCUAGCGUUGUUCGGAUUCAUUGGGCGUAAAGGGUGUGUAGGUGGCGCCGUAAGUCGGGUGUGAAAUUUCGGAGCUUAACUCCGAAACUGCAUUCGAUACUGCCGUGCUUGAGGACUGGAGAGGAGACUGGAAUUUACGGUGUAGCGGUGAAAUGCGUAGAUAUCGUAAGGAAGACCAGUGGCGAAGGCGGGUCUCUGGACAGUUCCUGACGCUGAGGCACGAAGGCCAGGGGGAGCAAACGGGG
rnacentral:rRNA from 1 species